ACUCAUGAAUAUUUUUUUUCACGUGUUCAAGUGACAAAAAACUUGAACAUGAUGAAAUGUUUGUUUUCAUAAACAUUUAAUCCUCCAGAAGAGGUAAUAAAAGCUGUUUACAUCACACCAUAAUAUACAGAGCAACAAAAUCACAGUAAAUCAAUAUUAACAGUAGGAAUGUAGAUUCAUUGUUUGUGUUUGUUUUUAAGUUUAUGAAGACAGAAACCUAGCAACGCAUACCACAGUGGAAAGCAGACAAAGACUUCCAUCAUGUCUCUACCAGUAUUGCCUGCUUGCUAUUUUGGAAAUAACUGCAGAAAAUGAUUGUUGGAAUCUCCGUCUAACUAUCACAGAUUAUUACAAACAAAAGGAGAACUGAAGUUUGCUGUUAGCAAAAACACAUCUAUGAUAGUGUUUUUUUUGUUUGUUUGUUUUACUUUGUCCCAUUCAUGAUUAUCGUUGUUUUUACAUCUUCUUUAUUGUUCAUACUUUAUAUACAGAUCAAAACCACUUUGACAUUCACAUGCUCUAUUACACAGUGAUAAAAGAAACAUAACUGUACAAGCUUAUUUCUGUGGAAACAAUUAGAAAACAACACAAAGUGUACAAAACCCCUGCCAUGAGUUCAGGUUUCUGUAAAAAACAUGACUUUAACAAAUCAUUUCAAAACAUUUUUUUGACAUAUAGUAUCUUAUAGAAUACAUGUUUAAUCAUUAUUUUUAUUAUAAAAUAUUCAGAAAAAGCUGCCAUUACCUGUUACAUAUUGUUUUCACUGGUAAACCAACACACUUUUGUUGAAAUCACAUCUGUCAUUAAAUAUGGUGAAUCUCAUUAACCCGAAAUAAAGUCCAAUUGAAGUGAUGGUAGUCCCAAAUAAUGUGAGGAAAACAGGCGACAACAAUGGCAUUAUUAAACUUGGACAUAUCUCCAAAAUUCAUGAAAAGAAACUGGUCAGGCAACCUGCACAGCAACACUGAAGAAACUGUAGGAAUUUCAAACGGAGACCAGUUGUGUUCUAUGUAACAGCAAUCUUCUGUGUCCACAUAUCUGAACUAGGGAGUGAGCAAUGGCCACAAGACAGAGGUCCUUUCACCCAGGAAACACAGUGGAGUUACAUUUUUCAACGUCAUAGUGAAGCCAUGUGGAUCAACACCGAAGAAAAGAUGGUUUUCAUGAAAACCUAAAAGGAGCCUUUCAAUCUUAUAGAUUUGGGGAUCCUUUGCCAGGCAGAAUGUCAAAUAUCAUAGAGCUAUAGGAGCAACAGUUUGCACUUGAACUAUAAAGGAUAAAUUUACUUGGAAUGUUGUUUUUAAUGACAAGCCUAGCAUUUUAAAAGAGGCGUUUGCAUUUUUUAGAAUCUGUAUUCUGUUAUAUCAUGCAAUCAACAUGCUGUGUUCUUUAAUAAUACAGUCUAUGACACAUAGUUUGUGGGUACAGUAAACAGCCUACGAAACAUGUUCUGAGAACUUCAUUCUACAAACACGUUCUUGUUGUAGAUUUGCUUUGAGACCAUAAAGCAGUUGCAAGAAGGAUGUAAUGAAGGCGUCUUGAGAAAAACCCUUAAAAACAGACAGGUCGCCAUGCUGUAAA